rnacentral:rRNA from 1 species
ACAUCCCGAAACUAAGCGAGCUACUCUAAAACAGCUUACAGCGCCAACUCAUCCCUGUUGCAAUAGGGUGAGAAGAUUCUAGAGUAGAGGUGACACACCUACCGAGCCUGGAGAUAGCUGGUUAUUCAAAAGACGGAUCUAAGUCCAACUUUAAGUUUUCCCAGUUCAUCAGACAAUCCUCAAACUUAAAAGCCAUUCAAAUAAGGUACAGCCUAUUUGAACAAGGAGACAACCUAUAAUACAGGGUAAUAUCUGCCGGUAUGAUUAAGUAGGCCUAAAAGCAGCCACCUUUCAAAAAGCGUCCAAGCUUCACCAUUAACUAUCCCUAAUUCCAUCAUCAAUCAACAACCCCCCUCCCCCACUGAAUGACCCCAUACACGUAUGGAAGACAUUAUGCUAGAACUAGUAACAAGAAGAAGAACUUCUCCAAAAUGCAAGCAUAAGCCAAAAAUAAACACCUUACUGGCACUCACCGCUAUAAUAGUACACUCUUACAAGAAAACCCUACUAAUUAAAGCGCUAACCUAACACUAGA